AAGGAGGAGGCAGGUGAGGGUUGGGGAGGGGAUGCUCGGGUUAGAGUGGUGGUUCUGCUUCUGUAAGCUUGGGGCCUGGGGAGGAGGGCUGGGGGAUCCCAACCGACCCCGGGCAAGGAAGAGGCUGUAGGAUACGGGGAAUGGCGGGGGAAGGGGGUCUGCACUGUUCCUGUGAAGAAGGCUCAUUUGAGCGGGUUGGAGGAGGCCGGAUAGAGGAAGAAGUGCUCCCAGGGAAGGUUUGGGCCAGAGUCCCUGCUGUUGGGGUAGAAGAGCGGCAUUAGGUUCAGGCCACUUCCCAUCGCCCCAGCAACAUGGCAUCCUGUGCUGAGCCCCCUGAGCCCACCGCCCUGUCGCCUGCUGGGGUCCCACCUCUUGAGGACUUCGAGGUGCUAGAUGGGGUCGAGGAUGUGGAGGGCGAGGAGCAGGAGGAGGAGGACGACGAUGACCUCAGUGAGCUGCCACCCCUCGAGGACAUGGGACAGACCCCACUAGAAGAGGCUGAGCAGCCCGGGGCCCUGGCCCGAGAGUUCCUGGCUGCCAUGGAGCCUGAGCCCACCCCAGCCCCGGCCCCGGAAGAAUGGCUGGACAUCCUGGGGAAUGGGCUACUGAGGAAGAAGACACUGGUCCCAGGCCCACCUGGCUCAAGCCGCCCAGCCAAGGGCCAGGUGAUCACCGUGCAGCUGCAGAUGUCGCUGGAGAACGGCACACGGGUGCAGGAGGAGCCGGAGCUGGUGUUCACUCUGGGUGACUGCGACGUCAUCCAGGCUCUGGAUCUCAGCGUCCCGCUCAUGGAUGUGGGGGAGACAGCCAUGGUCACCGCUGACUCCAAAUACUGCUAUGGACCCCAGGGCAGUAGGAGCCCAUACAUCCCCCCGCAUGCGGCCCUGUGCCUGGAAGUGACCCUGAAGACGGCUGUGGAUGGGCCUGACCUGGAAAUGCUCACGGGACAGGAGCGUGUGGCUCUGGCCAACCGGAAGCGGGAGUGUGGCAACGCCCACUACCAGCGAGCUGACUUUGUGUUAGCUGCCAACUCCUACGACCUCGCCAUCAAGGCCAUCACCUCUAGCGCCAAAGUGGACAUGACAUUUGAGGAGGAGGAGCAGCUCCUGCAGCUGAAGGUGAAGUGUCUGAACAACCUGGCGGCCUCGCAGCUGAAGCUGGACCACUACCGCGCAGCACUGCGCUCAUGCAGCCUUGUGCUGGAGCACCAGCCCGACAACAUCAAGGCGCUUUUCCGCAAGGGCAAGGUGCUGGCUCAGCAAGGCGAGUACAGUGAGGCCAUCCCCAUCCUGAGGGCAGCCCUGAAGCUGGAACCUUCCAACAAGACGAUCCAUGCAGAGCUCUCAAAGCUGGUGAAGAAGCAUGCAGCUCAGCGGAGCACGGAGACUGCCCUGUACCGGAAAAUGCUGGGCAACCCCAGCCGGCUGCCUGCCAAGUGUCCUGGCAAGGGUGCCUGGUCUAUCCCAUGGAAGUGGCUGUUUGGGGCGACUGCCGUCGCCUUGGGGGGUGUGGCUCUCUCUGUGGUCAUCGCUGCCAGGAACUGAUUGCCCAGGUGGCCGCCACCCACUCCGCACACCGUGGACCCCAUCCCACGCUCUGUAACCUCCCCCAGGCUCCCUGUCCACUGCCCUCCAUGGCCUAGCCCCUCCUCCAGGUCAGAAGCAGCAAGGAUUGGGGGUUGUGCAGCCCAGCGAGCAGGAGGGACUGAGGCCCGAUAGGAGAAAAGUGAGGUGGGGCCAAGGCCCUACGUCCAGCCCAGAGGGAGGCCCUCAUUCUUCCAGACCCAGUUCUUACCCCAUCUCCACCCCCAUCCCCCUGGGUUAGGUCUCAACCAGGGCUGGCCUCAGUUUCUCCUUCUCAACAGGCCUGGGGGCAGCCCUUCCCCUUUCCAGUCCCUGCCCAAGCGCCAGCCCCUCCUGCCCUGCCUGCUACCCUCUGUCCAAGCUCCCCUCCCCCCACAGUGAAAUAAAGCCUCCCACCUGCA